rnacentral:rRNA from 1 species
AAUUGGAGGGCAAGUCUGGUGCCAGCAGCCGCGGUAAUUCCAGCUCCAAUAGCGUAUAUUAAAGUUGUUGCAGUUAAAAAGCUCGUAGUUGAAUUUCGGGAUCAAUAUUUCGGUCAUGCCGUUGGUAUGCACUGUUAUCAUUGACUUCUCACCUUCUAAAGAACCGUAAUGCCAUUAAUUUGGUGUUACGGGGAAUUAGGACUGUUACCUUGAAAAAAUUAGAGUGUUUAAAGCAGGCUCACGCUUGAAUACAUUAGCAUGGAAUAAUGAAAUAGGACAUCCGAUUCUAUUUUGUUGGUUUCUAGGAUCGAUGUAAUGAUUAAUAGGGAUAGUUGGGGGCAUUAGUAUUCAAUUGUCAGAGGUGAAAUUCUUGGAUUUAUUGAAGACUAACUACUGCGAAAGCAUUUGCCAAGGAUGUUUUCAUUAAUCAAGAACGAAAGUUAGGGGAUCGAAGACGAUCAGAUACCGUCGUAGUCUUAACCAUAAACUAUGCCGACUAGGGAUCGGAUGAUGUUAAUUUUUUAAUGACUCAUUCGGCGCCUUACGGGAAACCAAAGUGU